rnacentral:rRNA from 1 species
GAUGAACGCUAGCUCCAGGCUUAACACAUGCAAGUCGAGGGACCGGAGCAAGGGUGAGUAACACGUAUCCAACCUGCCCUUUACUCGGGGAUAGCCUUUCGAAAGAAAGAUUAAUACCCGAUGUCAAGGAUGGGGAUGCGUUCCAUUAGGUUAUUGGUGAGGUAACGGCUCACCAAGCCUUCGAUGGAUAGGGGUUCUGAGAGGAAGGGCCCCCACGUUUGAACUGAGAAACGGACCAAACUCCUACGGGAGGCAGCAGUGAGGAAUAUUGGUCAAUGGGAGUUAGCCUGAACCAGCCAAGUAUCGUGACGGAGGAAGGCUGAUGGGUCGUAAACUUCUUUGAAAGAAGAAGAUGUAUUAUAUGAAUAAGGAUCUGCUAACUCCGUGCCAGCAGCCGCGGUAAUAC